rnacentral:tRNA from 14 species
GCGGGUGUAGUUCAAUGGUAGAACACCAGCCUUCCAAGCUGGCAGCGUGGGUUCGAUUCCCAUCACCCGCUCCA